GGGCCAGCCCGAGGCUGGUUAAUUGUGAGGCAGCAUUGCGAUGUGCUCCUGGGAUACUCGACAGAUGUUUUUUGGAGCUGGCACCAGACUCUUCGUGGAGCCACGAAGCCAGCCUCCUGCCAAACCAUUCGUUUUCACCAUGAAAAAUGGCUCCACUGUUGCUUGUCUGGUGAAAGAUUUCUACCCUAAGGAAAUAGACAUAAAGCUUGAAGCACCCAAGACUAUAGUAGAAUUUGACCCUGCUAUCGUCGUCUCUCCCAGUGGGAAGUACAGCGCUGUCAAGCUGGGUCGGUAUGAGGAUUCCAAUUCAGUGACCUGUUCAGUUGAACACAACAAUGAAACCGUGCGCUCCACUGACUUUGAACCAAAGAAAAGUCCUUCAGAUAACGUAAAACCAACAGAACCUGGAAGCAUGGAGCAAACUUCAGAGAACCUCUAUGGGCACGAAGUUCACCGGAGCUCACAGUUCACAGCCGGGAAGGUGAACAUGCUGUCCCUCACAGUGCUGGGGCUCCGAAUGGUGUUUGCCAAGAGUCUUGCCAUCAAUUUUCUCUUGACUGCCAAGUUAUUUUUCUUUUAAGGCUGACCGGCAUGAGAAGACUCCAUUAUGAGACUCUCACGUUACGUCUUCAUAAAAGCCUACAGGGUUGCUGUCUCCUAAGCUUCUGACUUCUUGGUGAUUCAAGUCGACCUCCUGCAGCCUUGUAUAAAUGGCUGCUACCAAACCAGGUUUCCUUCAGAGACACAAACCCAGCUCAUUUCCCAGCUGAGUGGAAAGACAAAAGUCCUGGGGAGUUAGGGAGGUUAUUAUUCUCCUAACAGCUCUAUAUGCUGCUUUCUAAAGAGAUAUAGGACUCAUUUUCUUUUUUAUUUUCUACAACUAAUAUGCUUGGGGAAAGGUGUUUUGUUCCUUUGACUUUCUUUGCCUUAGGAAGUAGAGAGUGGGAGCCAAGGCUUCCCAGCUCUAUGGUCUCUGAGGAAAAUAGACCUUGGGGGUCGGAGAGCAGAUGGCUCUGCCCAGCCCAGCACUAGAUUUGCCCCAAGCUGGCAUUUCCAGCCACAAAAGCCCUUUCUGCUUUUCCCAGUACUUUACAAACAAAAUCACAUUUGAAUUCCCAUGCAGCUGGUGGGGUUUCUAAAACCUCAUCCAAAUGCUCUCUGAGCUAUUAGCAAAGAUCAGAGUAAAAUACAGAGAAAAUGCACUUAUUUCUAUUAACUGAUUUAACAAACGUGAAUUAACUCUCUCUAUUUUCCGGGCACUGUGCCGAGGGUACAAAGAUAAGUAAGAUGUGGGCCUGCUUUCAAGCAGCGAAUUGUGCAAGUGUUUCUGGAGGGAGGGAAGAGGAAUGAGACCCCUCAAUUUCGGCUGUAAAAAGAUUAUCUUUCGAGGGGUUUGCCUGCCAGUCUGUGCACAGGGAAUGUGAGGUCAGGGGACGAUGAUUCUUGCCUGCCCCGUGUUGUUGAUGGUUUUCUGCCAUUCGGUGUUGUUCUCUGUUGCAUUUAUUAAAGUGCAUUGAGUGUG